ACUCCUACGGGAGGCAGCAGUGGGGAAUUUUGCGCAAUGGGGGAAACCCUGACGCAGCAACGCCGCGUGAGUGAUGAAGGCCUUCGGGUCGUAAAGCUCUGUCAGAGGGGAAGAAAUGCAGGGUGCUAAUAUCACUUCUGUUUGACGGUACCCUCAAAGGAAGCACCGGCUAACUCCGUGCCAGCAGCCGCGGUAAUACGGAGGGUGCGAGCGUUGUUCGGAAUUAUUGGGCGUAAAGCGCGUGUAGGCGGUUUGUUAAGUCUGAUGUGAAAGCCCCGGGCUCAACCUGGGAAGUGCAUUGGAAACUGGCAGACUUGAAUACGGGAGAGGGCAGUGGAAUUCCUAGUGUAGGAGUGAAAUCCGUAGAUAUUAGGAGGAACACCGGCGGCGAAGGCGGCUGCCUGGACCGAUAUUGACGCUGAGACGCGAAAGCGUGGGGAGCAAACAGGAUUAGAUACCCUGGUAGUCCACGCCGUAAACGAUGAGAACUAGGUGUCGCGGGUA
rnacentral:rRNA from 1 species